CCUACGGGUGGCAGCAGUGGGGGAUAUUGCACAAUGGGGGAAACCCUGAUGCAGCGACGCCGCGUGAGUGCAGAAGUAUUUCGGUAUGUAAAGCUCUAUCAGCAGGGAAGAAAAUGACAGUACCUGACCAAGAAGCCCCGGCUAACUACGUGCCAGCAGCCGCGGUAAUACGUAGGGGGCAAGCGUUAUCCGGAUUUACUGGGUGUAAAGGGAGCGUAGACGGUUAUGUAAGUCUGGAGUGAAAGCCCGGGGCCCAACCCCGGGACUGCUUUGGAAACUGUGUAACUGGAGUACAGGAGGGGCAGGCGGAAUUCCUGGUGUAGCGGUGAAAUGCAUAGAUGUCACACAGAACACCGAUUGCGAAGGCAUCUCACGAAUCCGCGAUUGACGCUGAUGCACGAAAGCGUGGGUAUCAAACAGGAUUAGAUACCCCUGUAGUC
rnacentral:rRNA from 1 species